AAAAGUAAUGAAGCGACUUGAUCGUAACCCUCGUCGCAGUGGCCGAAAAAUGGCUCUUGAGCUGAACAUAUCGAAAUAUUCCAUUCGGCAAAUAUUGAAAAAUGAGCUCGGGGUAAAGCCAUUGAAAUUCCAAAAAUGCAAGAACUUACACCGCAACAGAAAGAAAAUAGACUCAAAAGAGCUAAAGAGUUGCUUCGCUUGGACGGAAGCGGCGAAUUGCCGAAUUUGGUUUUCUCCGAUGAGAAAACAUUCGCUGUCCAGCAGUUUGUGAACAAACUAAAUUAUAGUGUUUACUUGCCAAAGAGGUCAGCUGAAAAUGUGCACCUUCGGUUGGCCACCAGAACUCAAGUGCCGGUCAUGGUGAUGGUGUGGGCCGCCAUAACAGCCUAUGGUCACUCUCCGCUCAAAUUAAUCGACCGUGGCAUCAGAAUAAAUGCCGAAUAUUAUCGCGAAAAUAUUCUGGAGGGUGUAUUAAAGCAUUGGGCACGCAAACAUUUUGGCCGCAGAACUUUGACUUUCCAACAGGACUCAGCACCAUCUCAGGCUCCUCGCUUUAUUUCCAGCGCACAAUGGCCACCAAAAUGUCCGGAUACCAAUCCGUUGGACUAUUGUGUAUGGAUUAUUUUGGAAAGCAAGGUUGGCACUAAAAAAUACCAAAGUGUCGAUAACCUCAAGCAAGCGCUUCGCCGGUAAUGGGCCACAAUACCACAGAGUAACAUUGGGGCAGCGUGUGAUGGCCAUAAUUCGUGCCAAAGGUGACCAAUUCGAACAAAUCUAAACUUAUUCUAAAAUUUGAUGCUAUUUCCGGCAUUUUUUGCUUUAUU